AAACUUGUGCUUAUGUAAUAUUUGGUUAUUCAGUGGUAGAGUUUAAAAAGGCAGAACAAAUGCCAAAGUUUCUCUUUAGAGGUUUUAAAAAAUGAGUUGGUUUAUAAGCAUCCCACCUCGUGAUGUACAGUUGAUCUUCCACCUUCCAUCCUUUCUUUCUUCCCUGCUUGCUUCUAUAUUGAUAAAACUCAUGAAUUUAAACAUAUUUGAGUUUUAACUCUUGGUAGUUUAUUAUUAUUGUUGAUGCUCAAAUUGCCUGGUAAGGAGACUUUUUAAAUUGGUUCUUGAGUUUGUUUGACCCUCAUAGUCUUUGGUAAUUUUCUUGUCUAAUGUGGCAAGAUUUUUCCAGGUCC
rnacentral:lncRNA from 10 species